UUCGGCAGCAUUGGCCUGACGAAGGGUGUGUCUGUGCAGAAGCGACACGUCCCGCAGCGAGCUGGCGGAGCUGUCCAAGCUGGCGAAUCCCGAUGAGAUCGAUAUUGACGACGAUGAUGAAGACGAGGGGGGUGAGGAUCACGAGCCUGACGAGGUGCAGCUGGAGCAGAAGAGCGUGCCGUCCGCUGUGUUCGGGGGGCUAAAGGAUGACUGAAUGCGCUCAGCUGGGAGCCCGACAUCACGGCAAGACGCAGGACAUGCAGGGAGGCCUGGCAAUGCCAGCGCAGCCACACCCGCGCCAUGCACCCAUGCAGACGCUCGACGUGUUAAAGUGAGCAGCGAAGACACAAGAGGUGGAUCACCACCCCUGCACAACACUGAACACUGCAGGACUUAGUGCAACUUGGCUUCAAGAGCUGAUAUCUGUUGGCUGUGGCUGACAAACUGUACAGUUCCACUGCUUUUUUUGGGAUGGGAAUCCAUUUUGAUACAGUAAGAUUUUAUUUGGAAGAUGUUUGUCAGGUGCAUCCUUUUAAAAUACCUGUUAGUGGAUUAAAAAAAAAAAUUGGUAUCAAAGGAGUUGAGAACAUGUAAAAAAUGAAGCUUUCUCCUUUUCUAGUUAGGACUUGAUUUUGUUUGGGGGGGGGGGGUUGCCAUUUCGAAGAUUGGUUUAUUGAUCGUUGGCGCCAACAUAUGUUUAUAUCCGUUUAGUUUUCUGUAGAUGAUUAGGACCUGCUCAAUGUGUGCUUUCCCUCCCUGUGAAAAUAAGCACUGGUCCUACCCUUUCACUGUACUGCUCAAUAUGACCAUUAGAGGUCGCCCUUGUCGUAGCAGACAUGUACAGAGCCGCCGGAUUCAGACAGGAUUUCUGAAGUUGAGAACCAAAACAACAUGACUCUGUGUGUGUGUGUGGGGGUGGGGAUUCCCAAAAAUAUCUUCUUUGAUCCUGCGAUGCUGCGGUGCUGCGAGGAUUUACUCGUGGGAAACGGGAAUUGAGAGGGAAUCGCACAAGAAGGAAAAAAAAGAAAAAAAACUCUGGGCAAGUGUGGUGUGUCCAGUGGCUGCGUACUGAGAACAGUACAAUAACAAGUCUUUAAAAAGCAGCUAAUUUACAUAUUUAAGAUUUGUAAGAAAAGUGUGUAAGAAAAUCGGGGUUAACAACAAACAUACAGCAGGAUUUUCAGAAUGUCACUAGUAUGUCUGCAAAUACGUAUUUUUUUACUCUUAAAUAAAGUUUGCAUUAAAGGUGAUCUCUUUUUUUCAACCCACUUGAAAUCGCUGCAUGAUUUGGAAGUAGCUCUUCCUGUUUAAAGAAAACCAAUUUGAUGAUCUUCUUGUUUUAUAAAUAAAGCAAAGAAAGAUUGCA